UACAGAGGUCUCAAGCGUUGUUUCGGGAUUCAUUGGGCGUAAAGGGUGCGUAGGCGGCGCGGUAAGUCGGAUGUGAAAUCUCGGGGCUUAACUCCGAAACUGCAUUCGAUACUGCCGUGCUUGAGGACUGGAGAGGAGACUGGAAUUUACGGUGUAGCGGUGAAAUGCGUAGAUAUCGUAAGGAAGACCAGUGGCGAAGGCGGGUCUCUGGACAGUUCCUGACGCUGAGGCACGAAGGCCAGGGGGAGCAAACGGG
rnacentral:rRNA from 1 species